rnacentral:lncRNA from 1 species
GCAAUGGGAGGAAGUAGGCUGGACUGGUUUGUGACUGACCCUCAAGGGGCAGUUCCAAGCUCAUCUACUGGUAGGGGCACUGUCAAUCUGCUCUCCACCUGAACACUCCCCAACCCCCAGUGAACCACAGGCCAGCAUGGAGGAGAAGGAUGCGCCCUCGGGCGGCAAGAAGGCCACCCAGGCCUCCCAGGAGUACUAAGAGGGCCCGCGCCGCGGCCGGCCGCCAGGCCUCCCCAUGCCACCACAAAGGCCCUUUUAAGGGCCACCACCGCCCUCAUGGAAAGAGCUGAGCCGCUUCAGACUGCGGGGCAAGCGGGCCGCGGCUCCCUUCCCCUCCCCUCCCCUCGCCCGCCUUCGCCGCCCGGCCUCGAGUCCCCGCCCGCCCCCGCUCCCGUCCCGCACCGCCUGCCGCGUCGGCCUCGGGCCCUGCCCUGUCCGCCGUCCGCCCUCCGGUAGGGUUCGGGCCUUCCGGAUGCGGCUUGGGCGCUCUUCGGGGACCUCCGUGGCGCGGAAGACCCGAGCCUGCCGGGGGGAGGCCGGCGGCGCCGCACCUGCCCGCCUCGGCGUUCGUGACUCAGCCGCCCCAUCCCGAGUCGCUAAGGGGCUGCGGGGAGGCCGCAGCACCUUCUGGAAGACUUGGCCUUCCGCUCUGACGCAGGGCCGAGGUGGGCAGUCCAGGCCGAGAGGCCGGCGGCCCUGAAGGUGAGUGAGGCCCUCGGCAGCUGCAGCCGGGGUGUCUGGUACCCCCCCGGCGUGGUGCUUAGCCCAGGACUUUCAGACGCGGCCGCUGGCCGGGAGGCUUUGGUGGGAGAGACGCGAUCGCCGAUUUCGGUCUGGCGCCCCUUCUGCGGCCGGGACCCAGGCCUUUCACAUCAGCUCUCCCUCCAUCUUCAUUCAUAGGUCUGCGCUGGGGCCGGGACGAAGCACUUGGUAACAGGCACAUCUUCCUCCCGAGUGACUGCCUCCUAGGAGGACAUUUAGGGGAGGGCAGAGGCCUGCAGUUUGGCUUCACGGCUGGCUAUGUGGACAGCAAGAGUCGUUUUCGCGGAAGCCGACUGGCAGCCAGGCCUGUCGGGCCCCCCGACGCCGCCCCAUUUCCCUUCCAGCAAACUCAACUCGGCAAUCCAAGCACCUAGAUACCAGCACAAGUCGGUUAAUCCCUGUCUGGACUGAGCCUCCGUUGGCUUCUGAACUGGAAUUCUGCAGCUAACCCUUCCACGACUAGAACCUUAGGCAUUGGGGAGUUUUAGAUGGACUAAUUUUAUUAAAGGAUUGUUUUUUUUUUAAAUGGAGCGUUUGUUUUCAUUU